rnacentral:rRNA from 1 species
GACAUGCAAGUCGCACGGGACUUUUCCAAGUAGCAAUACGAGGAAAAGUUUAGUGGCGCACGGGUGAGUAACACGUGAAUGACAUGCCCUAUAGUGGGGAAUAGCCCAGGGAAACUUGGAUUAAUACCCCAUGGUCUCGCGAGAGUAAAGGUGGCUUGGCAACAAGCUGUCGCUAUAGGAUUGGUUCGCGCCCUAUCAGCUUGUUGGCGGGGCAACGGCCCACCAAGGCUACGACAGGUACCUGGUCUGAGAGGACGAUCACGCACACUGGAACUGACACACGGUCCAUACACCUACGGGUGGCAGCAGUCCAGAAUAAUUCACAAUGGGGGCAACCCUGAUGGUGCAACGCCGCGUGGAGGAUGACGGUCUUCAGAUUGUAAACUCCUGUCAUCCGGGAGCAAGACCUGGCCAUGAAUAGCGGACAGGGUUGAUAGUACCGGAAGACGAAUGGACGGCUAACUUCGUGCCAGCAGCCGCGGUAAUACGAACGUCCCGAGCGUUGUUCGGAAUCACUGGGCGUAAACGGAGCGUAGGCGGCGUGGUAAGUCAGAUGUGAAAUCCCGGGGCUCAACCCCGGAACUGCAUCCGAUACUGCCGUGCUAGAUGAUUGGAGAGGUAGCUGGAAUUCUUGGUGUAGCAGUGAAAUGCGUGGAGAUCAAGAGGAACACUCGUGGCGAAAGCCAGCUACUGGACAAUAUCUGACGCUGAGGCUCGAGAGCCUAGGUAGCGAAAGGGAUUAGAUACCCCUGU